UGCACACAAAUACCAGAUUGCCUCUGC
rnacentral:piRNA from 1 species